rnacentral:rRNA from 1 species
AGUGAACGCUGGCGGUAGGCCUAACACAUGCAAGUCGAACGGCAGCACAGUAAGAGCUUGCUCUUACGGGUGGCGAGUGGCGGACGGGUGAGGAAUACAUCGGAAUCUACUUUUUCGUGGGGGAUAACGUAGGGAAACUUACGCUAAUACCGCAUACGACCUACGGGUGAAAGCAGGGGAUCUUCGGACCUUGCGCGAUUGAAUGAGCCGAUGUCGGAUUAGCUAGUUGGCGGGGUAAAGGCCCACCAAGGCGACGAUCCGUAGCUGGUCUGAGAGGAUGAUCAGCCACACUGGAACUGAGACACGGUCCAGACUCCUACGGGAGGCAGCAGUGGGGAAUAUUGGACAAUGGGCGCAAGCCUGAUCCAGCCAUACCGCGUGGGUGAAGAAGGCCUUCGGGUUGUAAAGCCCUUUUAUUGGGAAAGAAAAGCAGCAGGUUAAUACCCCGAUGUUCUGACGGUACCCAAAGAAUAAGCACCGGCUAACUACGUG